GGGUGGUAGUUAAGGGCUAGGGUGGUGGUUAAGGGUUAGGGUUAGGGUGGUGGUUAAGGGUUAGGGUUAGGGUGGUGGUUAAGGGUUAGGGUUAGGGUGGUGGUUAAGGGUUAGGGUGGUGGUUAAGGGUUAGGGUGGUGGUUAAGGGUUAGGGUGGUGGUUAAGGGUUAGGGUGGUGGUUAAGGGUUAGGGUUGUGGUUAAGGGUUAGGGUGGUGGUUAAGGGUUAGGGUUAGGGUGGUGGUUAAGGGCUAGGGUGGUGGUUAAGUGUUAUGGUGGUGGUUAUGGGUUAGGGUUAGGGUGGUUGUUAAGGGUUAGGGUGGUGGUUAAGGGCUAGUGUGGUGGUUAAGGGUUAGGGUGGUGGUAAAGGGUUAGGGUGGUGGUUAAGGGUUAGGGUGGUGAUUAAGGGUUAGGGUGGAACCAACUAGGGUGGUAGUUAAGGGCUAGGGUGGUGGUUAAGGGUUAGGGUUAGGGUGGUGGUUAAGGGCUAGGGUUAGGGUGGUGGUUAAGGGUUACGGUGGUGGUUAAGGGUUAGGGUGGUGGUUAAGGGUUAGGGUGGUGGUUAAGGGUUAGGGUGGUGGUUAGGGGUUAGGGUUAGGGUGGUGGUUAAGGGUUAGGGUGGUGGUUAAGGGUUAGGGUGGUGGUUAAGGGUUAGGGUGGUGGUUAAGGGUUAGGGUAGUGGUUAAGGGCUAGGGUGGUGGUUAAGGGUUAGGGUGGUGGUUAAGGGUUAGGGUGAUGGUUAAGGGUUAGGGUGGUGGUUAAGGGUUAGGGUGGUGGUUAAGGGUUAGGGUUAGGGUGGUGAUUAAGGGUUAGGGUGGUGGUUAAGGGUUAGGGUGGUGGUUAAGGGUUAGGGCAGUGGUUAAGGGUUAGGGUGGUGGUUAAGGGUUAGGGUGGUGGUUAAGGGUUAGGG
ensembl:lncRNA